UUGUAGUCUUCGGUUGGGUAUAGAGGAAGUGGUCAGCCUAUCAGCAUUUGCUGGAUAUGAGGAGUGCAGUGUGAAAACAUUGCUGUCCUCAACUUGGCCAUGGAGUCUUUUGCCUGUCGGGGUCUAUGUCAAUCAUUAUACUCUAUUGAAUGUUAUUGAAUGUCUUUACAUGGGCUUUUAUGCCUAUGAAAAUUGUAAUACAACUUUCAGCAACGGAUCUCUUGGCUCUC
rnacentral:misc_RNA from 1 species